rnacentral:misc_RNA from 1 species
CGUCAAACCUUACUCGGAGACAAAACGAACACUGCACUUGUAGAGAAGAUUUAUGAAUCCCUGUUUUGAUAGAAGAAUUUGGUUUAUAAGAAGUGCUAAAUUGGAAGUCAGAAUUCUAGAAAGUUGUAGCCAUGUUAAAAACAAAAAAAAAGAAGGUUUUUUUUCUACCAUCGUCCCUGUCGCAACCAUCGUUACAGCCACCACAAUCAUCACCAUAAGUCCAUCACCACCGUCGUUACAACGGUAUCCAUUGUUCUCACCAUCGUAGCCACCAUCAUCACGGCCGUUAUCACUAUCAU